CCGGGCGGCAGGCGACUGGCGGCUGCGGCGCCAGUGCGCUCGACGGCAAUGUCGUGCCCGGUCGCAUGGCGGCUGUGCGCAACCACGCGAGAAAGGAACCCGCGGGGCAGCCGACAGCGGCCUCGGCCUGUGCCAUGGCCUGGUCGUCGGCGGCCUCCCACGAGCACGGGGUGCGCGUGUCCCACAGGACCCAGGCCACCCAGCGCCACGGGUAGCCGUCGGAGCGCGGCUUUGCCGUGCGCGAGGCCAUCAUGGCAAAACGAAUACCGUUGGCAUGAUUGCCGCUGCCGGCCUCCUCGGGUGCCUUGGACGGAGAGCCGGCCGCCACGCCCACCAACAACAGGCGAUCGGGCACGCGCGGGGUCGUCGUUGCAACCGACAGUGGUUUGGGCACGGCUGGGGAGGCAGACGCGAGUGCAUGCGACGCCAGCCGAACAGAGGCAUCAAUAAAGGCCUGACCUUCGGCGACGGCCGCAUCUGCAGCAACGCUGCGCGCGUGCGCACCCAGGCCGCCGUCGAGAUCGGCGUGAACGUGGCAAAAGAUGCGCGCGAUGGUAUCGGCCGCGCCCACCGGAUCGUCGGGUGCGGCUUCUUUGAUACGUGCGGCUGCCGCCUUGUUCAGGCCAAAGUCGCGCCGCAGGCAGCGCAACACGUCGGCCGGAUUGGGCGGGUUGCCCACGCGACCGGCCACGACGGGCUGGCGCAUGAUCUCGGCACGGGCCAGGUGCGACCAAAAGGGUCCAUAGACGCGCACCAGCAGGUCGCAUAGAUGGGCACGCGAGGUGCGGCCCGGCGGCGCCGUCUUUUGCACGUAGGAGCCACGCACCCACGCCCCGUGGGCCAGACGCGCAAGGGUGGUCUCGAUCAACGGCGACAAUGUGGAGCCGGCCACCGAACAGGCGCGCAGCAGGUGCACGCGCUCCACAGCGCCGACAAGGGUGCGCAGGUCGAGAUCGGGCGCGUGCAGUUGGUCGUCAAUGAGCCAGGCGUCGUGGCGCCGACGCGCAUCAAAGUCGCUGUCGCCGGGCGAGGCCAUCCGCGGCGUGCCCCCAACGAGCGCCGACCACGCCGCCAACGGAUCCGUGGAUCUCGACGUCGGCCUUGUCGCCGUCGUUGUCGUGGUUGUGAGCAUGUUGGGUUCCAUCCUUUUCGUGUAUAUUUUUUUACAAUUUCUUGUUUCGCU
rnacentral:lncRNA from 1 species